UCAGAAAAGAAUUGGAAAAUAAAGGCCCAUAUUUAGGUCUUAUACCCAUCACUAAGGAAUGAUGGUGUGUUCAUUCACAUCCAUAGAGACACACAUACGCUUCAGAUAAUCUAUAUAUGCUAAUAAGCUGUAUAUAUGCGUUUGGUCAAUUUCAAUUUCGAAAUCGUUUUAAACAAGUCCGUCUACAUGUCUAUGUAAUGCUUAUGAUAAAUUUACUGUUGAAAAGGAAAACUAGGAUAUCGAUUUGAAAGAUGACAAAAACAUUGGAAGUCACUGCAGGCAAAUUGGUAUUGACUGAAAAGAAAUCAAAUUGAUUAAGGGCCUUUCUCUCUCAAGAUUCCGUUUAUUUGAACUAAAUGAUGCCGUCGUUUUAUAAAGAUUGCCUAUAGUUAAUCAUGGAUUCUGUGAUAAUUUUUCUGUUUAUUCGAUGAAGGAAAUACCUUUGAAUAAUUUGAAAAUAUUUCAUGAUUUCAUUCCUUAUCUGAUAUCUUAAACUACUUCAAUUUAUAAAUAAUGACACCAAGUGUAUGAAACGUGAGCUCUAGCUUUUAAAAUUUUAACAGACUCAUUUACUCUUUGAACGAUAUGGAGUAUUUCUUGUGUUUGUUGAUGGAAAGUACUUUAAACGUUCGCUUUAUUAAUAUAUCUAAGGUAUUGAGAGGUGAGACGUCUACAAAGAUUGUCGCAAAAUGUGCUAUAAUGUGAAGAAUGACCAUAAAAUUUGUAAAUAUUUGCAACACGUUAAAUUUUCCGAUAAAGUUUUGAAAAACAAAUUUUAUCUGAAUCUGAUAAGGUUUCGAUCGAUGCCCGAUAUUAAUCAUAAUUUAUUAAUGUCAAAGGAAUAGAUUGAAACGUUUUUAUUAGUUCUUUGUUUAAUUGUGUAUUCGAAUGUCAAAUUUGGCCGAAGCUAAAAAUGUGAGAGCUCCAACAGCAGACCCAGAAUCUUACGGUGAUCAGGAAUGUUUUACAUACUCUUUAACGCAUAUGAGCGUAGAUUGCACCUGGAAUGACUAAAUUCUUUAUUGACGUGCAUAUUUUGCAGAUAGCUGGAAGGGUGUGCUCCCAAUGAGCCAGGCCAAUCCGUUCUAAGAAAUCGAAUGAACCGUGUGUUCAGCGCAGUUUAAAUCUUUGCCAAAUUUGCAAAAACAUACAAAUAGACAUAAAUCUAAGCAGGGUGUACGGAUUAUUACAAAAUGCGGAUACUCAAUAAAGCCUUCGUCGCAUAUUUCCUUAUAUUGCAAACGAACUGGAAAAGUUGGUAUACUUCUGUCUUUCGAUAAUGGGCAUAGUGUAUAAUGGGUUAAGUGCACAAAUUGUAUUUGUCAGACAAUGCAUAAACACACAAUUACGAAUGUGUUCUGUUCGUUGGAAAAAUCGUUUAAAAUUGAGAACAAACACAACAUAGUUUAAUAAAAUUACAAGACUAAUCAACGAACUUGUAUUUCUUUUCUCCGAAUUUUAUAUCUAAUCUUACACCGUCAUUAUCAAUUUAACGAAUUUACAGCGCAAAGCGUUUAAAGAACUUAAAUAAAGCCUAGAAUCUAUUUUUUUCCCUUUUUAAACCAUUUGAGAUACUACUUUUGAUCGUGUCCUACAAUUUAUUUCUAAAUAAUUUAUAAUAUGGUAAUAAUAAUACAAAAUACUAAGGAAAAUCGGAGACAUACAUGACCAUUAAGUAGUUAGAUAGUGUAAAGAACUGUAAACUACCUACCUUCUUGCCUAAGAACAUGUAACUCUAUAUACGGAAUGAGUGCAUCUGCCCAUCUGCGGCUUUCGUGAAUCUUUUCCAAAGUUUUUGCUACUUUUCUAUAAUUGCGGUGUUUUUCCAACGGCUUAGAAUCGAACUCAUGUGGAUAUUGCACGCCUACUGUGCAAAAAGGGUCUUUGUUGAGUGUAUAUAAAUAAGAAUUUUCUAAUGCAGUUUUAACCUAUCCAGAUGAUCUUGGCAAUAUUUGCAUAUAUAUAUUUUUUUUAAGAUAGUUUAAAAGCGAUUAAAAUACCUAUAGCGGAAUAAAACACGUCCUUAAAUCACCUACAGCAUUUCGCUUAAUACAUUCGAACAAGCUGUCCGAUCCAGACCAUGUUCAAGCGAGCUAGCAAGCAACCGUUCGUUCUUGGUCCAAAACAUAUCGACGUAACAAAUUACAUCAAAAUAUCUCAAAAAUUGUGAAUUUAAGACGAACAGACGGACAGACACGUUGAAGCAAUGCAAAAAGUGACUCUGAGCCGAUCAGUGAAAUGAAAGAUGGGUCUAUCUCAAGUCCUUCUUGGUGUUGAAUAUAUCCCCACAAAUUUCAUGUCGCCUUGCACCAUAAAAGGUUUAGCGUAUAAAAAAAAUCUAUCUCGCCUCUCUUUUUCCUUUAAAAGAUCGGCAAAAAAAAAUUAUCUUUCUACGUUAAGAUUAGAAUAUUUAAAUCUGUAGGAAAGAACAAUAUAAGCUUUAAUAUGAAGACCUAUUGGAUUGACAACUAUAAAGCGAUAGAAGAAUAUAAUUUUGUAAAAGUGUCAGCGCUUUUAGAGAAAAAUAAAAAUAAUUGAGCCUCUUGAAUUGUCAAUAUCCUCAAAGUCUGGCAGAAAAAAAAUUCCUCUCUGUUCGACUGAAAGAACCAAUACAGAGAACAAUAUUGAUUUUAUAUGUUUACUGUGCAAAAUUUUCAAUUUAUUACAUUUCAUUUCAAGUUAUUGACUGCGUAAAAUACAUUGUCAUGCGAUUUUUUAUUUUUAAAUGAAAUAAAUAUGAAUUUUAAAGAACUUAAUUAAAACUGUUAUUAUGAGAAGAACAAUAAGCCGGCAAAUGACUUUUCCAAUUAUUGUGGGCUUUCUACUGAAGACAAUGAAUAAAAUUAUGCAGUAUCUAUAUAUCAAAAAUAUGAUGCACGCGGCUGAAAAAUAAAUGUAGUGACCACAACAUAUUUUAUAAACGUUAAUUGGAGUUGUUUUGGCAUUAGCGUAGAAGCUACUAAUUCCUAUUUCGCAUACUUUCGUAUAUCCAAAUAUGACAAUUGAGUGCAGUGCAGUCGAUUUUUCUUUAUACACUAAAAUAGCAGCCGCAAGAAAGUUGCGGAUUAAUUAGACUUAGACGGCUUGAGAAUGGCAUUAAAAAUGUAACGUAAAACGGAACGGAAAGUACGGCUUUGCAUGCCUUUAAAUGUCCACGAGUGUCCCACAAUCCGCUUCAGCCGUCCGGGGGAGUUUUAGAAAUUUUAUAGGAGACUCUAGCUCAGCAGGACGUUAUAAGAUGGUCUCCAUUUAAGAGCUUGAAAUACAGUUGACCACCAGAUUAUGGCGUGAAGAAUACUGACUCCGUGAGGAUAAUUACAAGGAAGCAACUUGGCGCUUCUAAAGAAAAGUUUGUCUAUCUGGAAUUAACUCGGCUGUGAUUGAUUUUUCUCCACCUUCCAUUUAAAAACACGAAAAUAUGUAAAUUUCUUUAAGUUUUCACUUUAUUGAUAUACAAUUUUAUUUACUGUAUCUAACAUGUUUUUUGUCUCAUGAUUUACUUUUUUUGAUAAAAAAAAAAUAAAAUAAAAAUAAAAAUAAUAAAAUCAAAGCGUGGCUUAAACGACGUCAUAUGAAUGUAUAUACUCUUCUUCUUGCUUCUGAUAGACUAUAAUUAAUUAAAAUCCUAUGAUACUACUAAUAAAAAUAUUGUUUUUGUAUGCGAUUUAAGAUAAUUGAUUGUUUGUAAUUAUUUUAUUCAUGUUAAGGGUAAAAAUUUUUUUCCUUGAUUUUUAAGAAAAAUUAAAAACGCCCUGACCUUGGCAAAAAAAAAGAACAUAUUAAAGACUAAUGUCCCACAAUUAAUUCGAAUAAAUGAAAAGUCUAAAAUUUUGCAGAGUACAAAAUUGUAUUAAUAUUCUUUUCAUACAUAUAUGUAAAUUAAGAAAAAGAAAGAAAGAAAAAAGAACGAUUCUUUAGCCUUUGUUUUUCUUUAUUAACUAUAAGACAGAUCUAAGAAUGGUUAUGAAUAUAAUAUGCAAGGAGACAAUAGUUUACAAAAAUUGCACAAAAAACAAGAGUAGUUACAGAAUUUAAACAAUUAACUAAAAAUUUUGUGUUAAUAAAAUGUCCUAACAAAAAAAGAUAAUCCCUAAAAUCUAAAAAGAUAGCAUUUCGGGUUUAAGGGGAUUUGCGUUUUGUUCGUUCCUUUUUUUAAAUUUUUUUAAAUUUUCCGAUUUAACAGGGAAAAUAUAAUUAGUUUAACUUUGUAGAGUUUGUAGAGUUUUUGUUUGUAUAAAUAAUAAUUAUACUUCGACAACAUGAAUAAAUUAUCGAAUAAUUCCAAAAAAUAAAAAGGCAAAAUCUAAAUUUGAUACUAAACUAAAUUCUAAAAUUAAGAGAAUAAUCAUUGUAAUUACAACUAAAUUAAAGUUUGCCAACACUUGCUUACUUUGGCAAUUUGUAAAUAAAUAAAAACUAAAA